rnacentral:rRNA from 1 species
AUUGGAAUGAGUACAAUGUAAAUACCUUAACGAGGAACAAUUGGAGGGCAAGUCUGGUGCCAGCAGCCGCGGUAAUUCCAGCUCCAAGAGCGUAUAUUAAAGUUGUUGCAGUUAAAAAGCUCGUAGUUGAAUUUUGGGGUGGCCCCAGAAGGUCCACUUAUUUGUGAGUACUUUUUGGGACCGCCCUUCCAUGGCUUAUCCCUCGGGGUGGGCCAUAAUUACUUUGAGUAAAUGAGAGUGUUCAAAGCAGGCAAGCGCUUGAAUCUUUUAGCAUGGAAUAAUAAAAUAGGACGAUGAUUCUAUUUUGUUGGUUUCUAGGACCAUCGUAAUGAUUAAUAGGGACGGUCGGGGGCAUUAGUAUUCAGUUGUAAGAGGUGAAAUUCUUAGAUUUUCUGAAGACUAACUACUGCGAAAGCAUUUGUCAAGGACGUUUUCAUUAAUCAAGAACGAAAGUUAGGGGAUCGAAGAUG